rnacentral:rRNA from 1 species
AACGAACGCUGGCGGCAUGCCUAACACAUGCAAGUCGAACGAGACCUUCGGGUCUAGUGGCGCACGGGUGCGUAACGCGUGGGAACCUGCCCUUAGGUUCGGAAUAACUCUCCGAAAGGGGUGCUAAUACCGGAUAAUGUCUUCGGACCAAAGAUUUAUCGCCUUUGGAUGGGCCCGCGUUGGAUUAGCUAGUUGGUAGGGUAAAAGCCUACCAAGGCGACGAUCCAUAGCUGGUCUGAGAGGAUGAUCAGCCACACUGGGACUGAGACACGGCCCAGACUCCUACGGGAAGCAGCAGUGGGGAAUAUUGGACAAUGGGCGAAAGCCUGAUCCAGCAAUGCCGCGUGAGUGAUGAAGGCCUUAGAGUUGUAAAGCUCUUUUACCCGGGAUGAUAAUGACAGUACCGGGAGAAUAAGCUCCGGCCAACUCCGUG